CUUGGAGGAUCUAAUACCCCCAAAGGCACCACAUGCCAUCUGAGCUUGGAAGCUAAGCAAGGUCAGCCCUCGUUAGCACUUGGAUGGGAGACCUCCAAUGAACACCAGAUGCUAUAGGC
rnacentral:rRNA from 11 species